GGCUUAUUUAUCAAUUAAAGAUUUUAGUAUAAGAAGAGCUAUAUGUAAAAUGAGAAUAAGUGCUCAUGAUCUUAAAAUUGAGAAAGAUAGAUAUAAUAAAAAAUACAUAGAGAGAACUCAACGUCUAUGUCAUCACUGCUUAUCACAUGGAUCAAAUUCUAUUGAAGAUGAGACCCAUUUUACAGUAAAUUGUCCAUUAUAUGAUGAACAGAGGAAAUUAUUAUUUGAUAAAGUUAUCACUUUUUGUACUAAUUUUAAAGAACUACCUAAUGAUAAGAAAUAUUUCUGGCUGUUCACAAAUGAGCA
rnacentral:lncRNA from 1 species